GGGGGAAUUGCUAGGCAAAUCUCCCUUGGUAGUGAGCUAAAUAAAAUAGUCAAUCCAUACACUUUGAAGAUCUAAUAUUCUAGCAAUUAAGAUAAGAAGCAAAUUAUUGUAUAUAAAACUGCCAAUGAGUAAUUGCCUAGUAAUUCAUCC
rnacentral:miRNA from 1 species